rnacentral:snRNA from 1 species
GUGCUUGCUUCAGCAGCACAUGUACUAAAAUUGGGACAAUACGGAAAUUUGCAUGGCCCCUGCUCAGGAUGACAUGAAAAUUCAUGAAGCAAUCCACGUUUAA